CACCUCCCAGCUCCAGUUCGGGCACCAGCAGCAGGAGGAGCAGGACCCCAGUGCAGCCCCUGGUCUGGGCAGCUGCUGCACUCGGAGCUGGGCCUGGCAGAGGCCCCACGGGUGAGCAGCUGCCAAGCCAGGGUCAGCACCAGCUCCAAGCCCCCCCUUUCCAGCACAGGCACCAGCUCCAGGCAAUGAGCACUCCAUCCUGGAGACUUGGCACCGGUGCUUCUGGGGCUUCCUCUACCAGGUGGCCGAGGGGCCGCAGGAGGUGUGCAGCCGCCUGCGGGAGCUGUGCCGGGGCUGGCUGGAGCCGCAGCACCGCAGCAAGGAGCAGAUGCUGGAGCUGGUGGUGCUGGAGCAGUUCCUGGCCAUCCUGCCCCAGGAGAUGCAGAGCUGGGAGUGGGGGCACAGCGUGGAAACCUGCGCCGAGGCGGUGGCCCUGGCUGGGGGGUUUGAGCUGGGGCCAGUGGAGGACGAGGCACUUCAGGUGACAGCGUUUCCCCCCCCCGACAUCAAUGCUGCCUCCCCGUCUCCAUGUGUCUGGGGAUGUUCCCUCCCACUCCCAUCUCUCCUAGCUCCCAGAGACUGUGGUUGUCUUGUCCCCAGGUCACAGUGCGCGUGAAGGUCCAAGACGUGGCCUCGGACAAGAUGGCAAGUGCUGGGGCAUUACGGGACCCUCAACUCCUGGCCGGAGCAGCUGCAGCUGGAUCCUGAGCACCUGCCCCAGGAGGAGGCAGGAUGGGGUGAAGCCCCAGGGCUCCUGAAUGAGCCACGUCAUGUCCCCAAAGACAAACUCUGGCCAUUGCAGGGCUCAGGGGUCUGGAUGCUGAACAGAGAGGAGGAGCAGCCUUUGGUGGAAACGUCGGCCAACUUGGACCUCCCAAGGCAAUUAGUUAGGAAGGACGCCUGAAGACCUGAGCAGGAUCAAGUGUGCAAGAGGCUGCACCAACACAAAGGGAGAACAUGGCUUCAGCCACCCCUCCCAGCUCGCCCAGCACCAGCCCAUCCUCUCCGGGGAGAAGUGAUACCAGUGCCCGGGAUGCGGGAAGGGCUUCACCUGCCUCUCUUACCUGACUCUGCACCAGCUCAUCCACUCAAGGGAGAAGACCCAUUGGUGUGGAGCAUGUGGGAAAGGUUUCACCUGCUCCUCCUACCCGGCAUUGGCGCGUCCACACACAGGGACAACUGUAACACUUCUGUCAGCAUAGGAAGGGUUCAGGUGUUCCUGCAGUCCACAGUUGUUUCUCGAUUCAAGGAUGAUCUCGACCGUGGCUCACUGAUGGGUCUCGAGGUGCUGAUGCCGUGUACACACAUUCAGAUAAUAUGGGAGAGUUCUCCCAGGUUUGUUCUCCUGGUAGAAAAACUUACCCAGAGUCACAUGUGCUGACAUUUGAGUGCUGAGGCCCUAAAGAGGAGAGAGCUUGCAGUGCUGACAUUGUGCAGCCAGGGUGGGGGGCCUGUGCCUAUCGGGGCAUCUCAUUCUCUGCCCGUGCCCAGUGUUGACCUCCAGUUCUUUGCUGCCCUUCUCGUCGCCCUAUCUGCCUGGCGUGGCAGUAGUUGCGAAGCUACCCCCACUGAAGGCAGUGUGCAAGGUGAGGAACACAGCAUGGCUCCAUGAAAUGGCCGAUGAACAUGCCUGUUAUUUCCAAGAGACUCUGGAGGUGGCUCAGGGGACACCGUUUUGUUUCUCACCCUCUCGGAGGAUGAUAUCUGAGGCUGUUGGGAAUCACUAAGGCAGAGACAACAGCCACCAGAACAACGCUAUGUACCGGAAAGACGUUUAUUUAAUUUUUUUUUAAAUCACGGGUGUUUUCUAUGUUUCCUGUGAACAAUACAGAUCUCCACACCCCGA